UAUGGCUUUUUUAUUCCUAUGUGAUGAUAAAAAAAUGUUCGUGUAGGAAUCGAAGCCAUGUU
rnacentral:pre_miRNA from 1 species